rnacentral:snoRNA from 1 species
CCAGCCUCAGAUGGUAGUGCAUGUAGAGUUGUCUCAUAGUUGGGAAACUCGAACACCAGUGGGAGAUCGCUUCAUCAUAGGCUGC